UGGGCCCAAUCUGCGCUUUAAGCGCAUGUGGUAUGGUGCGUUUAUCAAAAAGGCACAGGUCUAUUCUGGAAUAUGUCAUGUGAGGUUGUGAAUAGAAUGUGUAAUCCCUAUCUGUGGGGUAUAGAUUGCGCCACACGUCAUAAUAGUCAUGGGUGUGUAGUAGGUUGGAAAGGUGGGAUCCCAGGGAGAUCGAUCUGCUCUUUGGUGUUUUAUAGUUCGUUCUACACAUGUCCAUGUGCGGGUCUGGUGAGCAAUUAAAGUCUCCACAUAUCAGUGUGUGGCCCUGCUUGUACCGAUCUAUUUUCCGGAAGGCCGUGGUCAGGAAGGAUUUCUGAGAGUCAUUUGGGGCAUACAGAGAUGCCACCGUUAGCUGGAGACCGUUUAGGGACCCCACUAGUAUCAGUAGUCUCCCAUCUUUGCCUGUGUAUUGUUUGGUGAGGGAGAAUGCCCAGUCUCUAUAGAAGUAUAUCGAUACUCCCUUGGAUUUUGUGUUGGCCAUGGCGUGAAAUUCCUGGGUAUAGUGCUUUAUCUGGAAUUUGGGUGAAUUGCGUUUGCGAAAGUGUGUCUCCUGUAAGCAGACUAUUGCCGCUUGUGUUUUUAAAAUUUCGCAAGCAGUCAUCCUGCGUUUGUGGGGGCUGUUGAGGCCUUUUACAUUCAGCG